rnacentral:rRNA from 1 species
GUUAGAACGCUCGUAGUCGGAUUUCGGGGCGGGCCGACCGGUCUGCCGAUGGGUACGCACUGGUCGGCGCGUCCUUCCUUCCGGAGACCGUGCCUACUCUUAACUGAGCGGGGGCGGGAGACGGAUCGUUUACUUUGAAAAAAUCAGAGUGUUUCAAGCAGGCAGCUCGCUCUUGCAUGGAUUAGCAUUGGAUAAUGAAAUAGGACUUUGGUGCUAUUUUGUUGGUUUCGAACACCGAAGUAAUGAUUAACAGGGACAGUCAGGGGCACUCGUAUUCCGCCGAGAGAGGUGAAAUUCUCAGACCAGCGGAAGACGAACUACUGCGAAAGCAUUUGCCAGGGAUGUUUUCACUGAUCAAGAACGAAAGUUAGGGGAUCGAAGACGAUCAGAUACCGUCGUAGUCUUAACCAUAAACCAUGCCGACUAGGGAUUGGAGGAUGUUCACUGAUUGACUCCUUCAGCACCUUACGGGAAACUAAAGUCUUUGGGUUCCGGGGGGAGUAUGGUCGCAAGGCUGAAACUUAAAGGAAUUGACGGAAGGGCACCACCAGGUGUGGAGCCUGCGGCUUAAUUUGACUCAACACGGGGAAACUUACCAGGUCCAGACAUUGUGAGGAUUGACAGAUUGAGAGCUCUUUCUUGAUUCGAUGGGUGGUGGUGCAUGGCCGUUCUUAGUUGGUGGAGUGAUUUGUCUGGUUAAUUCCGUUAACGAACGAGACCUUAGCCUGCUAAAUAGUGACGCGAACACUUCGUUCGCGGGCCACUUCUUA